rnacentral:rRNA from 1 species
GACGAACCGUGCGAACGUUGUUCGGAUUCACUGGGCUUAAAGGGCGCGUAGGCGGGCUCACCAGUCAGGGGUGAAAGCUCCCGGCUCAACCGGGAAAGUGCCUUUGAUACUGUGAGUCUCGAGGGAGGUAGGGGCACGCGGAACUUCCGGUGGAGCGGUGAAAUGCGUAGAUAUCGGAAGGAACGCCGGUGGCGAAAGCGGCGUGCUGGACCUCUUCUGACGCUGAGGCGCGAAAGCCAGGGGAGCAAACGGG